rnacentral:misc_RNA from 1 species
GAAAUGCGAUAAGUAAUGUGAAUUGCAGAAUUCAGUGAAUCAUCGAAUCUUUGAACGCACAUUGCGCUCUUUGGUAUUCCGGAGAGCAUGCCUGUUUGAGAAUCAGUAAAUUCUUCUUGACCGCUGUUGUUGGGCUUCUGUCCGCUAACAUGUCUCGGAUGUGGGCCUUUUGCGACUGCAAAUUCGCAAUGGCCUGAAAUGCAAUGUUACGCAUCCUUGGACUGACCAGUUCUUGGGCAAUCGCAUGAAUGAGGAGACUCACAAAUACGUUUGUUCUACUUGGAUUGGAUCCGGGCUCAGGCAUCUGUAACUCAACCAUUACCCGGAGAUUGCUGACGUCAGUCAGCCUUUUCUGAACACUUGGUCUCAAAUCAGGUAGGAAAACCCGCUGAACUUAA